CAGGGGCUGAUUUCACAGCACAUUUGCUCCAUCUGAGCGAUCACUCUUUGCAACAGUUGGAUUUCCAUUCGGCGUUUACCUCGUGUGCCCAGAAUCAGGACUGUCUGCCUCCUUGGGGUUGAAUCGUUUUAUUUUCUUUGGGGCUUGGCCAAACCCUUUCCGUCAGCCUCGGUUCCAUCUAGGCAUUUCCAUUUGCGUGUGGGCAAGACAGACCAAAUUCACAGAGGUUUCCAGAGCCCAAGGACAAUGCCCACUCCUUGUAGAAUAUAAAAAGUGGGGAGAGAAUCCACCAAACCUUUUUUUUUUUUAAAGAUUUUAUUUUUUCCUUUUUCUCCCCAAAGCCCCCCAGUAUACAGUUGUAUAUCCUUCGUUGUGGGUCCUUCUAGUUGUGGCAUGUGGGACGCUGCCUCAGCGUGGUUUGAUGAGCAGUGCCACGUCGGCGCCCAGGAUUCGAACCAACGAAACACUGGGCCGCCUGCAACGGAGCGCGCGAACUUCACCACUCGGCCACGGGGCCAGCCCCCAUCCACCAAACCUUUUGAUUUCACAGAGAUAGAUGUUUACUUACAAUGGAAGACAACAAAAGCCAGAAUGGCAACAGACUUAGGAAAUGCCACGUUCUCUCGAGGAGCCAGGCCGGCCUCUGGAGGAUGCCUGACGGGGCCCUGUGAGGAAGAACUGGUUGAUGGGCAGCAUCGCACGUGACAAAGAGAACCCCGAAGAGGCUUAGAAGUGGCAAUGAACGUUCCUGUCCACUCUGCUGAGGUCGUCGGGGAGGGAUUCAUCAAACUGCAGCUCUCAGUCAGCAUUCCCAGAGGGAGACCUCUUCCCACGGGUGGGGUUGUGUGUUAGCAUUGCGGCGACGGAGAGGAUAAAGCGGCAAGAGGAAGAGUCAUCCUGCCUCCCCCUCUCCUGUGGAAAAGGCAGGCAGCCCACCAGGAGGACUUCAGCUCCACAGAGGGCCAGAUGGCAAUAGGCCCCUCACAGGGAAGCCAGCAGCAGGGGUGGCAGAUGGUCCCUAGCCUGCAGAGGAUCUCUGCAAAGAGGCUUCAUACAAGAGGGAACAAAGUUUCUGGCACCACCAUGCAGUAUGUGCUAGUAAAUGUUUAACAAAUAGCUGUCCAGAAAAAAAAGUCUCUGAUUUGUAGCACUGGCCAAUUUUCGUGGUGUAAACACUCUCACCGUCAUCAAUUUCAGGCUCUCAACCUGAACAAGGAGUCACUGAAAGAGGAGUUGGGAAGAAACGUGCAAGAUCAGCUCUGGCAGGCCAGUAGGAGCAGCGCUAGCAUGCCGCUGCCCCGGGCUAGGCCUGCAGGCCUCCCACAGAAGGGAAGGAGAGCCCAGCGAAUUCUUAGGGGACUCGAUGUAUUUUCUAUAGAUUUCUGCUCUCUGUGUGUUCCCUCUUCUCUUUCAACAUAAACAAUGAACAUUCGGCUGUGAUUCCGUUAAGUAUGACCUCAUGAACUCAGGGUUUAAAAAAAGUCAUUUUUCAGAACCACAGCCUAUAUUUGGACCCAAAUUGGCAGAAAGGACUGAGGGUUACACCUUUUAUAAAAUAACAACAAUAAAUAUUUUUUAGUAUUCUUCAAAUAUUACCCUAGAGCUCGUCAUACACAGCUUGAGAUGGUCAAUAACAGGCAACAUUUAUUGAGUGCCCACUGUGUACCACGUACCCUACAUGUAUUAACUCAUUUAAUCUUUACUACAACUUUAUGAGAAAGGUACUAUUAUUUAGAGAAUUACACCUUUUAAACAAAUAACCAUAGUGAAUACUUUUGAAUAAAACUAUGUGUUAUUCUAGACUGUUCACAAUGCAGUUUGAGAUGGUUAAAAAUAGCAAACAUUUAGUGAGUGAGCACUAGGCACCUGAUGUUUUCCAUGAACUCUCCAUUGAAUUUUUUUUGAAGUUUUUUUUUUCUUUGAGGAAGACUGGCCCUGAGCUAACAUCCAUUUCCAUCUUCCUCUACUUUAUGUGUGGGACACCUGCCACAGCAUGGCUUGAUAAGCGAUGCGUAGGUCUGCACCCGGGAUCCGAACCUGCAAAGCCCAGGCUGCCAAAGCGAAGCACAUGAACUUAACCACUACACCACCAGGCCAGUCCCUCCAUUGAAUUUCUAUAAUGACCUAUGAGCCAGGUGUUACUACGAUACUUACAUUACAGUUAAAGGAAAUAGAGGACAGAAAGUGACUUCCUGAAGGUCAGGGUCACACCCAGGCAGCCUGGCACCAAAGCGUGCUCUUUCGUAUGGGACUCUACCAUUUCUGAGCAGAAAUGUUCCUAGGCAGAUCCUUGACCUUCAGGGGAGAUGUCUGACCUUGAUUUAAAAGCAAUGCACUUCUCGUUCAAAUGUUUCUGCACAGCUGCCCUUCCCAACGUGGGCACUUCCUUCAGGCUGUAAACACUACCUUUCUCACUUGGCAGCAGAUACUGGUUGGCAUUAUGUUACUGUGGUCUGUGAUUUAGAGCUGAAGUAUCCACGUGCUGAGAAGUCAGGAGAUGAAUCUGGAAUCAAAUGCUAUUCUCCGAAUUGCUAGUCAAGUUCAAUGUUAUCCCCUUGAAAACCACUCCUAAACCACAUGCAAUUCAGCUCAAGUAAGGGGGUUAAAGAAAGUCAGAUUUCAGGAGGCUUCUAUUGAUCUCCAUCUUUAGUCUGUUUAGUACUGAAACAGUUUUGAAGUUUCUGCCUCAUUGGAGUGACAUAAUUUACACCUUUCUUUCUGAGGUUGUCUUAGCUGAGCUGCACAGCGGUGUUCUUAUGUAGACAAAGCUACUGGAGUUUAGAAACAGGAAAGGCUAGAAACUCACUUUUUAAAGUAAAAUAAAGCUUACACAGUGGGGG
rnacentral:lncRNA from 1 species